rnacentral:rRNA from 1 species
GAUGAACGCUGGCGGCGUGCCUAAUACAUGCAAGUCGAGCGAACAGACGAGGAGCUUGCUCCUCUGACGUUAGCGGCGGACGGGUGAGUAACACGUGGAUAACCUACCUAUAAGACUGGGAUAACUUCGGGAAACCGGCGCUAAUACCGGAUAACAUGUUGAACCGCAUGGUUCAACAGUGAAAGACGGUCUUGCUGUCACUUAUAGAUGGAUCCGCGCCGCAUUAGCUAGUUGGUAAGGUAACGGCUUACCAAGGCAACGAUGCGUAGCCGACCUGAGAGGGUGAUCGGCCACACUGGAACUGAGACACGGUCCAGACUCCUACGGGAGGCAGCAGUAGGGAAUGUUCCGCAAUGGGCGAAAGCCUGACGGAGCAACGCCGCGUGAGUGAUGAAGGUCUUCGGAUCGUAAAACUCUGUUAUGAGGGAAGAACAAAUGUGUAAGUAACUAUGCACGUCUUGACGGUACCGAAUCAGAAAGCCACGGCUAACUACGU